AUUGAACGCUGGCGGCAGGCUUAACACAUGCAAGUCGAGCGGAGUGAUGGUGCUUGCACUAUCACUUAGCGGCGGACGGGUGAGUAAUGCUUAGGAAUCUGCCAUUUAGUGGGGGACAACAUUCCGAAAGGAAUGCUAAUACCGCAUACGUCCUACGGGAGAAAGCAGGGGAUCUUCGGACCUUGCGCUAAAUGAUGAGCCUAAGUCGGAUUGGCUAGUUGGUGGGGUAAAGGCCUACCAAGGCGACGAUCUGUAGCGGGUCUGAGAGGAUGAUCCGCCACACUGGGACUGAGACACGGCGCAGACGCCUACGGGAGGCAGAAGUGGGGAAUAUUGGACAAUGGGCGGAAGCCUGAUCCAGCCAUGCCGCGUGUGUGAAGAAGGCCUUUUGGUUGUAAAGCACUUUAAGCGAGGAGGAGGCUACUAGUACUAAUACUACUGGAUAGUGGACGUUACUCGCAGAAUAAGCACCGGCUAACUCUGUGCCAGCAGCCGCCGUAACAC
rnacentral:rRNA from 1 species